UACAGGGGGGGCAAGCGUUGUUCGGAAUUACUGGGCGUAAAGGGCUCGUAGGUGGCCAACUAAGUCAGACGUGAAAUCCCUCAGCUUAACUGGGGAACUGCGUCUGAUACUGGAUGGCUUGAGUUUGGGAGAGGUGAGUGGAACUGCGAGUGUAGAGGUGAAAUUCGUAGAUAUUCGCAAGAACACCAGUGGCGAAGGCGGCUCACUGGCCCGAUACUGACGCUGAGGCACGAAAGCGUGGGGAGCAAACAGG
rnacentral:rRNA from 1 species